rnacentral:lncRNA from 1 species
AAAGGCUGGUGCUCGGCAGGAGGAGGACGCGGGCUGGGGCCGUGGGGCGGCGUGAGGGUAGCCCGGGAGCGGUGAGGAGCGUGCGAGGCCCACGUGAGCGGAGGGACGCGGCCGCUCUCACCUUUCCUGAGGGCCCUGGCCCGGCUUUGGACUCCUGAUUCUCCUCUGCUUGCCAGCUGCCGCCCCGCCUCCGCCAGUGGUGCCCGGGCUGCCUGCGCGGCCGGAGUGAACGCGUCCCGGGAGCAGGGGUUUCUCCGAAGUGAGUGCGCCAGCCCCGGGACGAGCUCGUUCGAGUCCUCACCGCCCAGUGCACUUCCUGAAAGCCGGCGGUGGGCUGUCUCCCACCUUGUGAAACUUUGCCAGGUGUCGCUCACAGGGGACUGGGUCCGGACGCGGGUGGCGGCGCUGGUUUGCGGCCCCGGUUUGCGGCCCCGGCGCCGCGAUCCCGGGCCGCGCCCACGCCCAGGCUGGAGGCACCGUGCGCAGGUGGGGACGCGCGGCCGGGAGGUGCGCAGCGGGACCCGGCCGGCCGAGGCAACAUAGUCCAAAUUUUUAAAACUCAGCUGGAUCUUUUGAGGGUUAAUUAAAAGGUGGGUUAAAAAAAAUCUUAAGACUUUAAAUUUAGAAGUCCUACUACAGCUAUGUAGUAGGAGUAUGCAGAAAGAUAAGAAUCACAUUGUAACUCUUUGCGGUGGUGCUGGAACAUCUGUUGGGAGAGCAUAUGCUGAACUCUGUUCACCUCACAAGUUUAUGUCCUAAGAGGCUCAUUCACAGUUCAGUAAAAGGGUGAACUGAAGCCUGAAUCAGUUUCGGGGAUGAAAGGGUGAGAGGGAGAACUGUUUUCAGCACAUUUGAGGUUGGCAAAAUAUAUAAAAGUCACUCUUUCUUGUAAUUUGCUAGUUCUUUACAGUCUUUAGAUGUAAUUUACAGCCAAGAAAACUUUAUUAUGAGGACUUAUACGUCAUUGCCCUUUUUUGCUGUCACCCUCAACUACCCUGGGAUCUUCUACUCAUAUCUCAUCUCCUGUUCCCACUUUUCUAAAGCUUAGGGUGAAAUACUUAGGCAACUAGUAAUAAUAUUAAUCUUGCUAGAUAUUCACAGGUUCAUAGUGAGCCAGCUGUCUAGAUCUGGAUAUCUAGUGAGCAAAUAAAUUCUUUACCUCCGAGUUGAUUUUUGUUUUAUUGAUCGAUUGACACAGUCUUGCUCUGUCACCCAGGCUGGAGCACAGGCUCAAGCAGAUCCUCCUGCCUCAGCCUCUCAAGUAGCUGGGACCACAGGCACGUGACACCACACCUGGCUAAUUGUUUGUAUUUUUUUGUAGAGACAGAGUCUCACCAUGUUGCCCAGGCUGGCAAAUUGAGUUUUAUAUGUGACGCAGUCAAAGGGGCAUUUUCCUUGGCAAUAAGAAGCCAUUUGAUAUGAACUCUCCACAAUAGUUGAUGCAUACAUUUUAUACCAGAAUUCAAAUUUGUAAUCAAUAAUGAUUACUUGGGUGUUUAUAGCUUUGGCCAACAUUAAACAAUAUAGUGAUCAAAGCUUAUACACAUAAGUGACAUAUACCAUGAUUUAAUGAUUUUGGUUAUCCAUCAGCUGGACAAUUUGUUGUUUAUCUCCGUCUCUGCAUACUGCAGCUCACAAGGAGGCCUCAAUGUUUUUUCCAUGUUACCAUAAGUGAGAGAACACAUUCAGUAAGAGUGAAAAAACGCUAGUGCUUUUGAGGGAGGGGCCCCGAUGGAAGUCCCACUGUGACAUGUGAGUUUUUAAGCUGGGAAAACUACCCUGAUGAUUCUAGUAAGACUCCCUAGAAAGGGAUUCCUCUUAGCCAGCCUACCUGUUGAGAACACCUGCUCUAGAUUUUCUGAUUUUUUUUUGUAUUCCCUGCAUAAUCAAAUCAUGUGGGCCAGAUAACAUUAUUGUGAUAGUGGUGAGUGUGUGGUUUGUAUCCAAAUAUUUUAUAAAGAAAUAUAUCUUGUAACAAAAACCAGGACACAAAGUAUUAUUGUCUCUUGUCCCCAGAUGAUAUAUAUAUUUUUAACUUCCCAUACUACACUGAUGUACCUAGAUGAUGUUUAAUGCACAUUCAGUAUAUUGUUUUAUUUGCCUUUUUAAUAGUGAAAGGUGUCAUUAUUCAUAUACCAUGCCAUACCGUAAUAUAGCUGGUAUUAUUGUCCAAGUAUUUAUAUGUAACCAGAAAACUGAUUCCAAGUGAAGGUUUGGAUGAAGGCACUAGUGACGGAGGAGGCUUUUCAACCCUCCUUUUUGCAGCUGGGUUGCUGCAAGACAUUUCACCAAAACCUCAGAUAACUGGGUGGUUCAGGGCAGCCUGAUACACUAAAAUAUAUCAACUAUAAAAAGGAUGCCCAGAUACGUCCACUUCUACUUCAGAUAUCCUGAAACAGGCAGUCUGAUUCAUAUCAAGAAUUUGUUCCCUAUGAGACCCCUCUCCCACUACACCUCCCUGUUUCCUCCAUUAGAAUAUAAAUAUCUUGAAGUCACUGACCAUGUUUUAUUCAAUGUUAUGUUUUCUCAUCUGGCACACAGUAGAUGUUCAUCCAUAUUUGUUGAAUAAAUGAAUGAAUGAAUGAAUGAACAGUGCUCCCGUAACAAAAAGUAAAGGCCAGAAACUCUUGGGUCACCUGGAACCUUGUUCCUACCUACCAGGGAAAAGAAAACAUGUCUCAGCAUUAUCAGACUAGCCCUGAGAUUCACUCCAGUUGAAUUGGCUGAGGUUCUAUGGCCAUUCUUGAUCAGUCACUGGGGCCAAGGCAGUGAAUCAACUUCAGAACCAUAUGGGUCCCUUCCAAGGAGACCCAGGGCUGUUGGAGAGGGGAAAGAAAAAUAUGAAUGCAGGGAGGCACCAACAUAUGUCUGAUAUCAUUGUACUUUAAUCUGUAGUUUGAUCAUUUAAAUUGCCGUGGGUAUAAGGUACCUCAAAAAUAAAUUUUUGUUUAGUUAGUUCACAUACAGCAUGUAUUUUAAAACAGGUGUUAAAUAUUAAACUGUCUUUAAAGAUUACACUUACAAAGCUGAUCUAAAACACCAGUAAGUUAUCUGCUGAUAUACAACUUAAGGAAAAAAUUAAUUGCAUAUUAAAAUUAAAAAUACAAGUUUUUGUUAAGGUUUACAAAAAUACGGUGACAGACUUGAGAUAGAAAUUCUUGGUGGUGUUACUGUGACAAGUAUUUCCAUUGGUAACCUGGGAAUCCAUGCCCAGCACUGUGGUAUAUGGCGUAUUUUCUGGAAGACUAGCCUUGGAUUGAAUUCACAGUCUCCCUGGAGUUGUGGUUCCAUUUGUCAGAAAGAUUCUUAGGGAUUUAGACUGACCAGGCUGUCAUGUUCUCACACUCAUACAUUUGUAAUUUUUGGAAAAACCAUAAAACCCACCAGUCUUUGGAGACUGUCCAGAAAUAAACUUGAUUCUAAACUGGUUUGGUUUGGAAAAUCCUUAGGCUACUUGUGUUAAAAAUUAAAGAACUAGCUGGGCAUGGUGGUGUGUACCUGUAGUUCCAGCUACGCAGGAGGCUGCGGCAGGAGGAUUGCUUGAGCCCAGGAGUUCGAGGCUGCAGUGUUCUGUGAUUGCGUCUGUGGAGCGCCACCGCACUUCAGUCUGGACAACAUAAUGAAACCUCAUCUCUUAGAAAUGAACUGGCUGAUGUUAGGUACUUGCCAGGGUAGACGACCUUAACUAAGCCCCUGGGGUUCUGUGAGACCUCUGCAAAUAGAUCUUCUGCUUAACUGUUCAAAAAGGCAAGGGCUGUCCCCCUCAAAAAACAACAUUGACUUCUAGAGACCCAUGGAGAGAUGGAAGUUUCUGAAGACUGGCUUGCUAGAUAGGAAAAUAACCAAUGCUCCAGCAGUGUUCUUGGGAUUGGAAUUUGCUGAUUCAUGUUUUUUAAAAUGCAUGAUCACAUCAAAUUUGCUGAGCUGUUGACUAUCAACCCAGCCUAAACCCACCGGCUCUUACCCUUUAACUUUCAUAAAAGAGAAGCCUGAUUUUGUUCAGGUAUCUAGCCUUCUCCCAAAGACCCUGUGUGGCUUGAAGGAUACCUUUGCUGGAGCCAUGGAUAGGAUAAAUCUCGAUCAGUAAAACAAUUAGGAAAUCCUGUACUUUUGCAAUUGGUUCGGAAUGAUUCGUACAUGACAAAGGACACACGAGGCAAUUUGGAGGGGCUCUCAUUGGCCAAAUCUGGCAAAAUUUGAGUAUCAAAAAGAUAAGAUGGUACCAUUGAAUAGAAAGAGAAUCGAACUCCAUAGGGAUUUCAAAGAAAAAGAGGUUGGGGAGGGUGCAGAGAAAAAAAACAACAGCAUCUUUAUAGAAGAGUGCCCCUAAAAAAAUGCAGAAAGAGAGAGUGAGAAAAGUACCACUUUGCUACCACCAAAUGUAAUAAUUGAUUAAGGUAUUUUCACCAUUGAGUGGGAAGUUAAGAAAUGAAACAUGUAUUCUCAAAGUACCACCUCAUUUAAAAAGGAGAAGAGGUACUUUUACACGGAUAAAUCUGAUGAAUACGACCCCAACCAUGUAGUCACAAUAAUGGGACAAUUUAAUAUGUUCUUCCCCAUGUCCUGGAUGCCACUGGAAGUGCACACUGCUUGUAUGUAAUAUUCUUGCCAAAAUGUUUAUGCUGAAUCUAAUCAUGGGGAAGUAAGACAAAUCUGGACUGUGGAACAUUUUAUUAGACAACUGGUCUGAAUCUUCAAAAAUAUUAAUGUCGGUCAGGCAGGGUGGCUCACACCUGUAAUCCCAGCAUUUUGGGAGGCCGAGUUGGGCGGAUCACCUGAGGUCAGGAGUUCGAGACUAGCCUGGCCAACAUGGUGAAACCCUGUCUCUACUAAAAAUACACAAAAUUAGCCAGGCAUGAUGGUGGGUGCCUGUGAUCUCCAGCUUCAGGAGGCCGAAGCAGGGGAAUCACUUGAACGCGGGAGGUGGAGGUUGCAGUGAGCCAAGAUUGCUCCAUUGUACUCCAGCCUGGGCAACAAGAGCGAAACUGUCUCAAAAAAAAAAAAAAAAAGAAAAAAAAAAGUCAUGGCCAGGCAUAAUGACUCACACCUGUAAUCCCAGUACUUUGGGAGGCCAAGCGGGGAGGAUGGCUUGAUCCCAGGAGUUUGAGACCAGCCUGAGCAGCAAGACCCUGACUCUACAAAAAAUAAAAUAAUUAGCUGGGUGGGGUGGCACAUGCACGUGGUCCCAGCUACUCAGGAGGCUGAGCUGGGAUGAUUGCUUGAGCCUGGGGUUGUGCCACUUGCACUUCAGUGUAGGCAACUGAGCGAGACCCUGUCUCAUUUGAAAAAAAAAAAAAGUCAUGAAAGCAAGCACAAGCAGAAGACUGAUUGUUGAGACAUGACUACCAAAUGCAAUUCAUAAUCUGUGAUUAGAUCCCAGAUUUUAAAAAAAAAACCUCUAAAAGACAUUUUGGGAAUAAUUAGGUAAAUUAAGUAAAAUUUAAUAUGGAUUUCUUAUUACACACUGUUAUUGUAUCAAUGUUAACUUUCUUAGAUGAGAUAAUUACUUUGUGGUUAUCUAGGAAAAUGUCUUUGUUUCCCAUAAAUACAUGCUGAAACACUGAAGGAUGAAAUGUCAUGGUAUCUACAUCUUAUUUUCAAAUGGCUCAGAAAAAAAAUUUUAUAGAGAAAUAAAGCAAAUGUGGCAAAAUGUUGAUAAUGGGCAAAUCUAGGUGAAGGGUGUAUGUGUGAACAUUGUACUAUUUUACAUUUCUGUAGCUGUGAUUUUUAUAAAAGUAGAAAAAGUAAAAGUAGCGAAAUGAUCACAAAACAUCCACAGCGUGAAUAAAAAAAUAAAUAAAACUAUAUUAUAUGAACACUGUUUAACAUUUAAAGUUGUUUAACUGGUUUUGUAAAUGGGAUAAAAUAUUAAUCAAAGUCCCCUGAGAGCUAUUCCUAAAAUAGAAUAAUAAGAUUUAUGAAGGGAACUUAAAAGCUUAAUGGAGAACUGGUUUUCUGAAUGUGUCACCUCCAUAUAUUGAUAUUUCAAAAAAUUAGAGAGUGAAACUGGUUACAAUCAACUUGUAAUGGCUUGCAGAGUUAGUGUCCCAAGAGUUAGUGCGACAGUAUGUUCUGAAGGAAACCUGAGACAGUCAAGUCCAAGCAAGGUCAUCCUCAGAGAGAAAUGCUCCUAAAAAAGGCUGCAAAGCAAUCACACUGAAACUGAAUGAUGUGAAAUCACAGUGGAGUUCCCUCUAAGUGAAUUCUCUUAUUUAAUGAAUGCUUGGAAUCUAAAGUAGGGGCAAUUGACAGUAUACACAUUUGCUAAGGUUGAUGCAGCACUUUUCAAUGUUAACAGCUACUGUAUCUGGUGGACGUGGCCUUUUAUCACCAGAAAGACCUACUCUGUCCUGGAGAAGAGUUAGUUCUUUGGGCUUUUCCCUUACCCUCAGGAAAAAUCUCUAAGAUCAUCAAACUUUCUUUCUGUGAUCGUGAUUCAGAGCCAAAUAACCUUUUGAUUAGCAACUCACUUUCCCAGUGUCUUAAUGCUGGGAAACAGAAUAUUCUAGGGGAAUAGAGAUAUAUAACCCACUUGCAGGAAGAUGUUCUGCUUGGUAAAUGAAACCAUUGACAUUCUGAUGUAUCAGUCCCUUGCAAAUUUAGUCAGAGGGGUCACCCCCCACCUGAAUUUUAUCAAUUUGGAAUAAACAAGAUUGCCUAUGUAUGAUGACUUAAACAGCCCCUUGUUCUUGUAUUUUGACAUCAUUUUAAUUUGUACAUUGUUUAAACUUAAAUAACUACUUAGAUCCCA